rnacentral:rRNA from 1 species
UACGUAGGGUGCGGAGCGUUGUCCGGAAUUAUUGGGUCGUAAAGAGCGUGGUAGGCGGCCUGGUAAGGUCUGCUGUGAAAAAACUCGAGGCUCAACCUCGAGAUGUCGGCUGGAAACCAUCUGGCUAGAGUCCGGAAGAGGAGAGUGGAAUUCCUGGUGUAGCGGUGAAAUGCGCAGAUAUCGAGAGGAACACCUGCGGCGAAGGCGGGUUGCUGGGGCCGACACUGACGCUGAGGCGCGAAAGCCAGGGGAGGCGAACGGG